GAUCCUGGCUCGGGACGAACGCUGGCGGCGUGCCUAAUACAUGCAAGUAGAACGCACAGGAUGCACCGUAGUUUACUACACCGUAUUCUGUGAGUUGCGAACGGGUGAGUAACGCGUAGGUAACCUGCCUGGUAGCGGGGGAUAACUAUUGGAAACGAUAGCUAAUACCGCAUAAGAACAUUUACUGCAUGGUAGAUGUUUAAAAGGUGCAAGAGCAUCACUACCAGAUGGACCUGCGUUGUA
rnacentral:rRNA from 1 species